CUAAUGACAUCUUAAUUCAGCCUAUUUUAUAGGAGCAAUUGCUGCCUCAGAACCGAAUAGAAUUCGGUAGUAGCCACUGGUCAGUUGUUAGAAAGAACCUUUUAAAUUAUCAAAUACUCCUAAUAACAGGAGUACCGUGCCUGAACCAUUUAUGAGAAUCAUAAUGCACGAACAAUAUAAAUAAACAUUUAAAGUAACCUACGAUUUUCCACCGACUAUCAUCAGCUGUUUAUAUUGAUGAAUUUACAUUUCGGAAUUUGGCAAUACUGUCAACCGUAAAAUAAAAACAAUUUGCGUUCUAUCGAUCCUAACCAAGCCUCGCAUAUUCUGAAAAAUGUAAACAGACAAUUUGGAGGAACCAUCCGAUGCUUUUGAAAUCUUAUGACGAAAAACAACUGUUAGUUAAGCGGUCGGCCUCAUCAAGAAAUCUAUAAAAAUGAACUAUAACACCAUCAUCUUUUGAUUAUACACCAGUCCAAAGUGCAACUUUUGUGUAUUUACGUUUACGGGUCCUCUAAGAAAUGCAUCAAAUAAACUACCACACUUCAAGUCGUCGAAUAGUUUAGGGUGAUUCGACUACUAAAGCUAAGACCACUUAAGGAAGGAUAUGCUCGCAAGGUUACACUAUAACGUGUGGUUACGUGUUGAAGUUGAAUUAAUUUACCUACCAGACAUACAACCACGGAUUCAAUAAGCAUACCCACCAUACUGGAUGAUCAUAGAAUGCUGUAUCAAGUAUAAUAUUUGAUAAAGUAUAUACAUAACAUGCAAAAUAAAUCAAUAUACCUUUAUAGUAAA